CUCUGUUAAGUGAUCACCACAUUCAUUGUUCUCGUUUCUAUUAUUUCUGAAAAAAAUCUUCAGGAUUCUGCUUGUGGGAGUGGAUGACAUUUUUACAGUGUUUACAGCUUUAUCUAUUCCAGAAUGUCAUAUAGCUGGUAUAAGAAAGAACACUAAUCAUUCCUAAGGAAGAAAAUUAACAACGCCGUGAGUUAUAAUAUCUGGCUGAAACUGAAGGAGCUCUGUGUAAUUAAAAGUCCUUUCUGCCCUGCCUGGCCAUGGUUCUGUAUGCAUUGAUGUCUUACAAACUGAAAAAAAAAAAAGUUAUUUUCUCAUCUCCAUUCCCUAGCAUAGACAUAUUACAUGAUGUGGAAUUGAAACAAGAAAAUUGCAUUUUAAUCUUCCACUCAGAACAUAGAAGAAUGAAACAAACAAACAAAAAAUACUCUGUUGUCUUAGUCUACCACAAGCAAAAUCUGGCAGUCUCUUUGCUUUGGUAAUGGCAUAAAUUCCUUGAUUAGCCUAUAGGAUAGCCCAUUGUUCUGCUCUUUUAGUGGAAUAGCUAGCAAUUGCUUUGUCAUUUUUUCCCCAUGGUUCCUACCAUUAGUGUUGGGAGGUUUCUUCUUUGUUUUUUUGAGAAAGAGGAAAAAGUUGUUAUAUUUUCAUAAAAACUUAAAUUUCAUCCAAAAUACUUGAUUUUCAUGAAGAAAGUAAAUAUCUCUGCCCCUAGUAUACAUGUGUGGAAACUUUCAGAACCCUGAAGAUAAAUACAUUUCAAACAAGUGAGUUUG
rnacentral:lncRNA from 1 species